UUUCCGUAGGUGAACCUGCGGAAGGAUCAUUAAUGAAUUUGAACGGGGUUGUUGCUGGUCUUCAUGGCAUGUGCACGCCUUGAUCUUAUCCAUUCUACACUUGUGCACCUUUGCGUGGGUUCGUCAGCUUGUGCGGUCGACGGACUACGUUUUUCACAAACUUUUGUUGUAUGUAAUCGGAAUGGUUUUAUAUGCUGUAAAUGCAUGUUGGUACAACUUUCAACAACGGAUCUCUUGGCUCUCGCAUCGAUGAAGAACGCAGC
rnacentral:misc_RNA from 1 species